rnacentral:rRNA from 1 species
AUGCAGGAAAUCAGCGAAAGAUUUAUUGAUCUUCCGAAUGAUGGCAGCACAACUGUGUUUGGAGAAAGGACUGCUGGACUACCAGGACAGAAAUAUGUCCACAUGCCUGGUUUUCAGACAGACCCAUGGAUCAGGGGUGUUGUCCCGUGCCCACCUCAGCCUUAUGUUUCUCAACUACUAGAAGAGUUCUUUGCUACUGCACCGCCAGAAGUUCUUUCCAGGUUUAUACGGAUCACUGGGCUAGCACUCAAACAACAAUUGGUUGGAGACGUGUUAAUUGAUCACAAGCUCAUGUCAGUCAUCAUCAGAAGAUAUUGCCAGGCUGAUCAGGAAGCCGAUAAACAUUCCCCAUACCGGACAUGGAGGCACCCUCUGGAGCCAGAAUUUUCAAGUCUGGUUUUAUCUGAACAAGUUUACUUGCAUACGAUGUCCAUACAGAAGGCACUAGGCGCCAUGGUACUGCAGUAUGACAUCACAUCCGCUUAG